UACAGAGGGGGCAAGCGUUAUUCGGAAUUAUUGGGCGUAAAGGGCGCGUAGGCGGCUUGGCAAGUGGAAGGUGAAAUCCCUCGGCUUAACCGAGGAACUGCCCUCCAAACUGCUUCGCUUGAGACCGAGAGAGGUGAGUGGAAUUCCCAGUGUAGCGGUGAAAUGCGUAGAUAUUGGGAGGAACACCAGUGGCGAAGGCGGCUCACUGGACCGGUACUGACGCUGAUGCGCGAAAGCGUGGGGAGCAAACGGG
rnacentral:rRNA from 1 species